GCUAGGUAGUAUGCUCAGAACUAGAGUUACAGAGAUGAGCAGAGCAGAACACAGAUCUCUUCUGAAGUUCUGGUCUGUAGUGUGCUAUGAAGUUCAGGUGUCUGCACUAAGUUCAAUAUCAGUAUGGCCUCCUGGGAACAGGGUGCCACUAGGUUGCCUAAGGAAGGGUGAACUGGCACAGAUCAGAAACAGAGCAGAUCAAAGCUCUCGUGCUGAUCAGUAGUGGGAUUGUGCCUGUGAAUAGCCACUGCCCUACAGCCUGGGCAACAUAGUGAGACCCUGUCUCUC
rnacentral:SRP_RNA from 1 species